UACGUAGGGUGCAAGCGUUGUCCGGAAUUAUUGGGCGUAAAGAGCUCGUAGGCGGCUUGUUGCGUCGGCUGUGAAAACCCGGGGCUCAACCCCGGGCCUGCAGUCGAUACGGGCAGGCUAGAGUCCGGUAGGGGAGACUGGAAUUCCUGGUGUAGCGGUGAAAUGCGUAGAUAUCAGGAGGAACACCGGUGGCGAAGGCGGCUCUCUGGACCACAACUGACGCUGAGGCGCGAAAGCUAGGGGAGCAAACAGG
rnacentral:rRNA from 1 species